rnacentral:tRNA from 1 species
GGCUGCCGCUCGCCGAGGCGCCCGACGGCAUCGCCGUACCGCCCGGCGACGACGCGGAGGCCGUGGUGCCGCCGCCGUCCGAGACGGUGCCGCUGCCGC